UUUAUAUAAAAAGAGUAUUAUAUGGUAAAUUCUCAUCCUGAGAUAAAUUAACUGGUUGUUUAAAGAAAGAAAUAUUUGUAAUAAGUCAGAAAGUUGAGGCAUGUCAAAGAAUUGUCUGUGAAAGUCAAGAAAGAGAAAAAUGUUAUAAAAAAGAAUUUAUGCAAAAAAUGUUGUAUAAUUUAGAAGUAACUAGGCCUCCUGAAUGUAAAACUAUUGGAAAAAAAAAACAAAAACAGUUUAUGUGCAAGGUGUAUAAGGAAAGUAAAAUAUACCUUUGGUAAAAGGAUUAUAAGGAAGCAUAAGAAUGUACAUUUUUACCUACAUUAAAAAGUUAAAAAAUUUAUUGUUUUGAAGGUUUAAGCAAGUUUUAAAAUGUUAAUUGUAAAGAAAAUUGUGUGUAUAAACAUAUUAGCUAAAGUCAAAGAAGUGUCAUCCAGUUUUUCUGUGAACUAGACAUUAAAGUAAAAGCAUAACAGGUUUUUCUUAAAGCACCAACCUGCUCUUUAGCAAAAAUUAUAAAAGGUUAAAAAGAGUCUAUAAAAUCAUAACUUAUGGUCAAACAUUUAAAAUUAGAUAAAUGUCUACAAGCUUUUAUUAAAAUUAGGUUUAACAUUAAUAACACACUAAUACAAACAUAAUAUUUAGCUUAUCUGGUAUAAAAAUCAUAGAAGAAGCAUUGUUAAAUGUAAAAUGGUAUUUGGCUUUCUUUGGUUUAAAAACUAAUAAAAAUAGGUGCUAAAGGAAAUUUCUCAGUAAAAAGGCACUAAGGACUAUAAAGUCCACUGCCAAGGUCCCCACAUUUGAAACAAAAGGUCAAUUUCUUAAAAAUUAUAUACUUGGUUUAUCUUCCACUUUCCUUUCUCUCAAAAACUAAAAGUCUUUUAGCAUAUGUACCACCGCUAGAAUUUCCAGUAAAUCAGCACCAGCCUGAAGAUCACAUUCUCAUCAAAGGGUGGAAAGAAGAAAAACUCGAGCCCGCCUGGGAAAGACCCUACCUUGUGCUGCUAACCACCAAGACUGCUGUUUGUACAGAAAAAAAAAAAAAAAAAAAGAUGGACUCAUCACACCUGAGUCAAGAAAGCGCCACCCCCUCCAGAGUUGUGGGCCAUAGUCCCAGGGGAAAACCCUAUGAAACUAAAGCUAAGAAAAAUGGAGGAAACUUCGAGUUCCUUGGAGACCUGAAAGGAUGCAGUGAAGCUUAAGAAUUUUCAAGAGCUUAUCAAUCAGUCAGCCCUUGUUCAUCCCUGAGUGGAUGUGUGGUGGUACUGUGGUGGACCUUUACUGGGCACUCUGCCGAAUAACUGGAGUGGCACUUGUACUUUAGUCCAAUUGGCUAUCCCUUUCACCCUGGCAUUUCAUCAAUAAGACAUCAUAAAGCGAGAGAAGCUCCUUAGGGGUCUUUCAACUCUCAUGUCUAUUUAGAUGCAAUUGGAGUCCCACGAGGAAUACCAGAUCAAUUUAAAGCUUGAAAUCAAAUAACUGCAGGAUUUGAGUCAAUAUUUUGGUAGGUGACAGUUAAUAAAAAUGUAGAUUGGAUAAACUACAUCUAUUGCAACCAACAGCAACAAGCUUUUCAUGAGUUAAAAGAAAACUCAUGUCAGCUCCAGGCCUGAGGCUACCUGAACUGAAAAAAACUCAACAUUCAAUGUGUCAGAAAGAGAAAAAAUGGCAGUUGGAGUUUUAACCCAGACUGUGGGGCCCUGGUCAAAGCCAGUGGCCUAUCUCAAAACAACUAGACAGGGUUUCCAAAGGCUGGCCCCUAGGUCUAAGGGCCCUAGCAGCAACAGCUCUGUUAGCACAAGAAGCAGAUAAACUAACCCUUAGGCAAAAUCUGAAUAUAAAGACCCCCCAUGCUGUGGUAAACUUAAUAAAUACCAAAGGAUAUCAUUGGUUAACAAAUGCAAGAUUAACCAAGUACCAAAUCAUGCUAUUUGAAAAUCCCCAUGUAACCACUGAAGUUUGCAACACCCUAAACCCCACCACCUUUCUCCCGGUAUCAGAGAGCCCAGUUGAACAUAACUGUGUAAAGGUGUUGGACUCAGUUUAUUCUAGCAGGCCCAACCUCUGAGACCAUCCUUGAACAUCAGUAGACUGUGAGCAGUACGUGGAGGGGAGCAGCUUCACCAACCCCUGCAAAGUGACUCUGAAGAAGAUGACAAGCCCUACUCCAGUCACACCUGGAAGCUGACUGGUCCACACACAGCCGAAGCAUGAGAAAACUCAUUGCGGGACUCAGUUUCCUUAAAAUUUGGACUUUUACAGUAAGGACUUCAAAUGACCUUCCUCAGACUAAGGACUGUUCCCAUUGUAUACAUCAAGUCACUGAGGUAGGACAAAAGGUUGCUAUGGUCAUAUUAUUUUAUAGUCAUUAUAAGUGGACUGGAACUCUAAAAAGAACUUGUUCGUGUAAUGUUAUUCUAUACAAAGUAUGUAGCCCAGGAAAUGAGCAACCUGAUGUGUAUUAUGACCUGCGUGAGCCUCCCAGACCACAGUUUCUAAAAUAAGAUGAAGGACUGAGGACUGGUGGGGGCUCAUAAAUGAUAUGAGGGAAGUGUUAGCCAGAACAGAAGAAAAAGGGGUGCCCAAACAAGUCACCUUAAAAUUUGAUGCCUGUGCUGUCGUUAAUAGUAAUAAGUUAGGAAUAAGGUGUGGUUCUCUUCAUUAGAAAAGAGGCUGUAUGGCAGAAAAUAAAUACAUCUGUCAUAAAU